AAUUUGACUGUGCAAAGGUAGCAUAAUCAUUAGUUUUUUAAUUGAAAGCUGGAAUGAACGGCUAGAUGAGAAAUGAACUGUCUUUUUUUAUUAUGUAGAAAUUAACUUUUAAGUGAAAAGGCUUAAAUUUUUUGGGGGGACGAUAAGACCCUGUAAAAGUUGAUAUUUACUUUGUUAAAAAUUAAAGUUAAAGUUUAAAAUUAUUUUAUUGAUUUAAAUAUUUUGUUGGGGAGACAAGGAUAUAAUUUUUUAACUGUCUAUUUAAAUUGAAUAUUUAUUUAUAUUUUAGGAUCCUUUAAUAGGGAUUAUAAGAUUAAGUUACUUCAGGGAUAACAGCGUGAUUUUCUUUGAGAGUUCUUAUCGACAAGAAUAGUUGCGACCUCGAUGUUGAAUUAAGAUUUCAGAAAGGUGA
rnacentral:rRNA from 1 species